rnacentral:lncRNA from 1 species
UCUGUUUAAUCUCUCUCCCCUCUCUCUCUCUAUCUUAAUCUCUCUCCCUCUCUCUCUCUCUCUGUUAAUCUCUCUCAGUCUCUCUCUCUCUAAUCUCUCUCUCCCCCUCUCUCAGUCUCUCUCUUUAAUCUCUCUCCCUCUCUCUCUUUUAAUCUCUCUCCCUCUCUCUCAGUCUCUUUCUCUCUUUAAUCUCUCUCUCACACACAAUAAAAAUUCUCACUAUAUACGGGUCUUCACAAGUCAGGCCUGGUCCUAUGCUAUCACUUUCACCUUUAAAUAAAAACCCUUUUUUCUCGGCCCUUCUUUACAGCUGACCAUAUGGGUAUCUCCACAAAAGUGUAAAACGAUACUUCACUAUAAACUACUGUAAAAAUUUAAGACAGCCAUUAAAGCACAUACCCAAAAAAAGCGGAUAAUUGUGAUGGGUUCUCUCUGCAUCAAUCAAAAAGCUGUAUAGAGAAAGAUCUUCUGAUUUUGCUUCUCCGUAUUCACAUAUAACUUCAUCACUGCCAUGCCACAGUCUCGAAAAUAAUUUCUUGUAACAUGCACAUAAAUGUCUGCCAUUUCUAUUGACAGCAUUAUCUAUGCAGAUGGUCUAGAUAGCGUUUAUGAUGUGGACUCUAAAUGGGGCUUAAAUUUUUAUAUUUUUGUCCCAUGAAAUCGGUGUAACAGCAGAUCUUGGUAACUGGAGUUUCGAAUUUUAGCUGAUGAGAGGAUAACAUGUUGUUUGUAAUAUUUUGCUCUUCUGUCUGAUGCUUUAUUUUUUCAAGAAGAUUUAUGAAAACUGGACCAAAUUCACGAGGAAUGUUGGAUCUAUUUGUAUGUUUCUGUCUUUGUGCUCUUGAUUUUUUAUCAUAUUUUGUCAAAAUCACCCAAUGCAUUCGUAUGGAAUUAAUCGAAAUCGAACCGAAAUUACAUGAUUUUCGAUAUUUUAUAAAAUUAUUAUUUUAAAAAUCGGUGAUUAAGAUUUAUGAUUUGUCGAUCUGAUUAAAUUUUCAAUUAUUCAAUUAAUCUUUUGAUUAAUAUCCAAACAAUUUAAUUAAUUUCCGAUUUUUUUUAGUGAUUAAGUUCGAUUUCGUUUUUCCAACCGAUUAAGUUCGAUUCCUAUUUUUUACUAUAAUAAAACAUGUUAUUGAACACGAUUGGAUAAUUCCGUAGUUAAGAGUUUAUCCUCUGUCGUCUAGGUUCGAUUCUGAUUAUCGAAGGAUACAAGCAGAUUACUGUUUACUCUUAGCUGUUGAGGACUACAAAACAUGACUGAAGCCCAAGUAAGAGGAAAAUCAAGUCAAUCCAACGAGUCACUUUUGGACUGGGCCUCCAAUUUCGAAUUUUCUUGUUUUCUCUCAUUUUCCAAUAAUAAAAACGAGUUUCUUAUUUUAAUCAUUACUAGCAUCAGUUUGGUAAAGGUCCAGUAAACAACUUCAGUCCACACUCCACAGCACAAUUAUAAUGAGAAAAACAGAAAUCUUGAAUUACCAUACGAGUCAACGGUCAACCAACUGCUUUCAAGCAAAAAGAAAGAAAAGAAAACCAAGUAAAAUCAGGUGGAAUAGCAAUAGAUUGUGUCUAGGAACAGGUUACUGGUUAGAUUCCAGAAAACAACCUUUUAAUCGAAAACCGCGAGUAAGGGUUUAACUCGCGGGAUGAGUGAGUCUUGUACACCGAGUACGACUCAGCAAAGGCCUUUUUACAUAAAGACGGGGCUGAUUUUAAAUCCAAAAUAUUAAGGGAUAUAAACAAAACAUUAAACCUCCAGUCUCAUUUAGUACUGAGCUAACAGAGGUUCUUUAUUGUAUUAAUGCAGCAUCAGUUGAAUUCUUGCUCUGCUUGUUACCGCGUGCUGCAAAGAUCAAGUUUCCGCGAGUUAAUUGAUGGAAUUAGCUUAAGGUAUGAUUAAGAGAAACAUAAAAAACCAUACAGACUUCUAGUUGCAAGAAAUUCUUACCAAAUAGCGAAGAAACGUCAGAGCUUUUCAAUACCCGCAGCCUCUUGACAGUAGACACAAACAUGCUGCAGAUCACAUGUCGAUGAUUAAUUAAUUCAAGUACAUGACAAGAAAUCUAACGAAAUCAUUUGUUAAUAUGAUGCAGCUCCAUGACACUGUAUCAGAAAGGUAUUACUGCACAUGUCAAGUGGCCAAGUGCCAUAUGUAAGAGAAUGAACACUUGAAUGUGUUUAUAGAGAGAAACAGUUAAUACAGAUGCAUCUUUAUAUUUUCCAAAAAUUCUAGUUCAUAGAGAUUCCUCUGUAAGAACUAUGAAGAGUGAAAUGCUGCAAAUUUAUCAACUAAUUACAAAAUUUGUGAAUCGAACUUUAUAACUAAUAACUUCAACUUAUUAACAAAUGUACAAAGAUUACGCCCUUUAAGUUAUCAGGUAGCUGCAUGGUAUUGAAAUAACGAAUUAUGGGGAAACAUAUUGGAUCUGGAAUAUGCUGGAUGGAUAAUAAAACAGAACUGUGACAUACUGAUCUUCUUGAAUAUAUUAAUUGCUCAAGUGGCAUAUAUGAAAGGCAUAUAAUAAAUUUCAAUGAUCAGAUCUACAGAGGUGAGGUGCUUACUGCCAUGGGACAUCUCCGACAAGCAUCCUGUCGCCUUCAUUAUCCUCAUACACUAGGGUAUAUUCCCCUCUUCCAUCUAACAACCCGGUAAUUAACGUAUCUCCCUCUUGGUUCUGGAUAUUUUCAUCGGAGGGGUCCCUUUGAGCUAAACAAGGAUAAGAAACAAACCAUGUGAGAAACCAAUAUAUUUGCAUAACUAGAUUACAAAAACUAUUGAUAUAUGCACUGCAGCAAGUUGGUAUCAAUACAGAUCCUUUUUUAAAUACAGAAUUGCGUACAAGGCUUGAUUCCAUGCAUGAUCAAAAUAAUAAUACAUUCAAGGUAAAUCACAAUUUUUGCAUGCAAGUGACAUGCAUAUAAUUUAGACAAGCUGAGAAAAACUACCUGCCAAGAGACCUCUGAAAAGCUCAUCAACCGAACAGGAUAGCUUUUCAUAGCUAUCAUAAGCUUUCAGAUCAACUUUUCUUCCAAUAGGGACUCCAUCCAUGUUGAUCUUCACAAACAAACCUUUACAACAACUCUCGACCUGUUUUUCGUUGGCACUCUUAUGUGGCGGAGCCACAAUCUCUUGCUUGGGCUCAACCUUCAGUUUCGUCGAAGUGUUGCUUGCAAUAUUCUUCCUGAAUGAUCUAAUUGGAGGCCAACCAACAACUGGAGCAGGAACAGUUCUGUUGCAUUAUUAGAAAUUAGCACCAUUUAGUCACAAAUAAAUCACAACUGAAAAAUAUUUAGUAAAUUAAUUAACUUAAAAGUAAUUAUUUCAUGAGGUUUAUCUAGAAGUGCUAAAGAGAACAAUUAACUAAUCCUGCCAAGACAAGUAUGAAGUAACAUCAUUGUUUUGGAAAUAUAAAAGAUUAAAGGUCUAUUUUAUGAUCUUAUCAUAACAAGGACCACAAUCACCACAUGUCGGCAUAUAAGCAUAAAACUUAUUGUAGGGUAAAAUGGCGAAUAUACUCUGUUCAACAAGAAAACAAAACAGUAUACUAUCCACUAGCUAAAACUGCAUAAGCACCUAUUUUAUUUUUUUGUUAUGAUUUUUUUCAAACUCAUAAGCAGCAAAUUUAAGGGAAAAUAGGUACUAGUAACAAUUUUACAUAUGCUGUUAAUAUGAGUAAUCAUUUAUAUGAACGCAUAUAAAAAAUCUCCUUCAAACACUGAGAUUUUAGGUAGGCGAUCAACUUAACAUGAUAUCAGACCUUUUCCUCUAAGCAUGAGAAAGGGUAUUCUCAGCAACUUAAUAAGUCUUGCCAAUUAAACUAACGAUUGCUUAAUUAGUGAAUUUUUCAUAAAGUUAUUGUUAUAUAUUAAGUUCAAUGAACACUAAGGGGGACAAUGAACUAAUUCUGGCAAGACAAGUAACAUCAUUAUUUGAAACCAAGAAAAAAGAUUAAAGGUAAACAUUAUCAUAACAAGGACCACCUAUCCCCCCCGGUGGAUCUAGCAAAAGGCAUAGGACAGAACAUGUGUUUGCCGGCAUUAUUAUUUUUUCGCAUUUUUUCAACUUUAUAUAUGUUACAAAAUUAUAGAAUUGCUCCUGUAAAAUUUGAAAAUAUAAAGAUAUUUUCUGAAUAUUUGUUAUAUGACCCCGGAGAAAAAAAAUCUUAAAUCAGCCCCUUCCCAUGUCCAUAUGUAACAUGUAAGUCUAAGUCCAUAUACAACAUGCAAUAUGCAAUAGUACAAUUGUAUAGGAAUAUAGUGAAUAUGCUCUGUACAACAAGAAAACAAUAUAGUACACUUGGGCAGUGAAUAAAACUUGCAAAAGUGAAAAAAGAAUAAACCUUUUGUGGGAAGUGUUGGGACCAGCUGUAUUUUUUACAGCAGAAGCAUCUGGUGAAAAUGCCUGCUGCUUUUCAGUCUUGUGCAGCUCUGACACCAGCCCUUUGCUCUGAGAUGAUUCCUUUUUCAUGCCAGGAAGCAAGUCCAAGUCUUUUUGUUGGUCAUAAUACAAGAACUUGUGUGUUUGAGUUUGACUCUCAUUUAGCCAACUCUUGUCAAGCCCUCUCUUUGAACCAGAACAAGCUGAGUGAGUUGUGAUGGUGGAGUAUGAGUUUCCAAGAGAAAGAAGAGAAGGGUCAUGAUCUUUCUCUUGAAAAGUGUGUUUAGUGAAGUUGGUUGAGGUUUUAGAACAGGCCAAGCUGUGUUCUUGAUCACCUGGUGGAGCUAGCCUUAGUUCUAGGCCUCUUCUUGAAAAUCCCUCCUCCAUUUUUACUUCAAGACCAAGAAAACCAGCAAUAUUUUCUUGAAGAACAGAUGACAAAGUAGAGAUUUUUUAGUUUUUACCCUUGGUUUUUAUGAAACAGAGGAAAGAUUAUGAGAGAAAAUUUUGAAUAUGUGAAUGAGGUGGAGAGGGGAUAGGUGGAGAGGAGUAUAUAUAUUGAGUGAAAGGAGGAAGAGGUUUAUUAAAGGAGAAGGCAAGGAGAGAGCUAAGAAAGUGCCCCCCUUUAAAAUAUGUUUUCUAUUUGGUUUGUUGGUGGGUUGACAUUAUUGUCUACUACUAUCCUUGUUCUACUUGUAUUAACCUCUGAGAAGCUUGAUUGUGAUGUGUUUUUAGCAAUGUUGCUUAAUAGUGUUAAGGGCAGUGGCUGAGAAUUACUGAAGUAUACGUUUACUAUUGGGUUUUAUAUCAAACUGUCCACCCAUUUCGUCAAAAAAUCUCACCUGACCCACCCAAAAAAUUUUGGACUCAUGUAAGCCACUAUAAACAAAAUAUAUAUCAUCACUAUUCAUAGUUCUUUACUUAAACAUUUAUAAAAAAUCAACCGUUUGUUUUUUUACUAUAAAACCACUUCGAGUACUUUGAUAAUAGUCCCUAGUAUUUAUCAAAAUAAUUUGGGAAUUCCUAAAGCAACAUAGCUAGGAUGAUCAUAUAACUAUAUCUAUAACUAUAUAUUUUAUUUAACUACAUGGCUAUGUUGCUUUAGAAAUUUCCAAAUUAUUUUAAUAAAUCCCAGGAACUAUUAUGAAAGUACUCGAAGUGGUUUUGUAGUAAAAAAAUAAACGGUUAAUUUUUUAUAAAUAAUUAAGUAAAAAGGUAUGAAUAAUGAAGUGGUUAAAAUGAUAUAUAUUUGGUUUAUAGUGGCUUAAAUGAGUCCGAAAUUUUUUGGGUGGGUCUGAGAUUUUUUGACGAAAUGGGUGGCCAGUUUGAUAUAAAACCCGUUUACUAUUUGUACGUAUUUAGCAAUAUUUUGUGAUGAAUUUUUCUUUCAAAGAUUAAGAGGUUGUUUGGGUGACAUUAAAAUAAGUGCUUUUUGCUUAAAUAACAAAAUAGAGUAGAAAUCAGAAGCAAGUUAAGACUUAUAAAUGAUUAAAGUGUUUGAGAAAAAAGUAGAAGUCUUGAAACAAAAGUUGGCAUUCCUAUCUUUUUUUAUAAGUGCUUUUUGACUUUUUACACAAACGAUAUAAUAAGUGCUUCUAACCUUUAAACCCAGAAGCCCGGCUUUUAAGCGGGAAACAAACACCUCCUAUAACUUUAAAAUAAAUAAUUGAAUUAUUUGUCGAUGAUAGUCCCUGAAUUUAUAUUAAAAGUUUAAGAUUUAAUAAUAUCUUCUCGGAGGAUGAGAUAGAUGAGUGCAAUAAUCACUAAUAGGAUCUUUAGAUACAAAGUGUUUUUGUUUAGUGUUUAUCAAAACUAGUGAAGCUAAUCUCCGAAAUGACUAUUAAGAAUAGCAAAAUUUUAAAUUCGAACGCUGAAAUUUUAGUUAACACUUCCCCGGCUCUCCUCUAAGAGAUCGUUUGGGUGAGGUUAUGGUUUAAUCUGAUUUAUGAUUUAACGUGACUCAUGUGAUGAGAUAGAAGUUUAAAAUAUCUAUUUGAAUAAUUUUGAUUUAUUAAUAAUUUAUGAGUUAUUAAAAGUAUAAUUAUAAAAACAAAAAUGAUUAAUGGAUAGUUUAUGACUUAAUUUUUGGCGUUAAGUAAGUUUCUGACUUAAUUCUGAUUUUAAGUCAGAUUUGACUUAUUACACAAAUACACGUUUUUCAACUUAAAAUUGAAAACAACUUUAAACCUAAACCGGGAUAAAAUCAGGUAAAUAAAUCUCAAAAAUCCACAUAACAUGGGCUUGUAAUUUUGUUUUUAAAAAGGAGGACCUGCAUGAUCAAGAUUUGUAGGAGUUGAACAUGGAAAUAAAGACAUGCAAAUUGUGUGAUUUUUGGUUUGGAGUAACAAAUUUCAUAACUUUUUUGGAGUAACAAAUUUCAUACUUCGAUUGUCUGAAAUUAAUAUAUAAAUGUGAGUGAUACUUCUUUUAUGUUUCAAGUUUCCACCUCUCCGAUUAUUAUUCACGCUUUUUGUUAAUUUUUUGUUUGGUUAAUCCAAUUUUCGGACUAUAUAGACCCAUUUUUACUAAUUGUUAAAUGUAAUACUCCCUCCGUCCCACCAGAUUCUUUACAGUUUCCUUUUUGGGAUGUCCCAUCCAAUUCUUUACAUUUCAAAACUUACCUAAAAUAGUUAAUGGACCCCACCACUACCCAACUUUUCCUUCCUUUUCACACUACUUUUACUCCUUUUCACACUACUUUUACUCCACUAUCUCCUUUUUAUACAUUAAAAAUCAAUGGGUCCCACCACUUCACCCACUUUUCUUUUUCUUUUCCACUAUUUUAUACAUAUUUCUUAACCUCUGUGCUCAAACCAAACGUAAAGAAUUGGCCGGACGGAGGGAGUAUUAUAAUACCAGCAACUUUUUAGUGCAAUGGUGUGUAUCUCUUACUUUCUUUGACGGUUGCCGAAAAAUCUAGUCAAAGACCAUAUGUGUAUACUUUGGGGUCGUUUGGAUGAGCUACGUGGCGUAUCGGUGGGGGUGUGGGGUGUGGCCUGUGGGAGUGGCAAAAAUCGUAAUUUUUUACAACUUUUAAAAAAAAAAUAAAAUUAGUUGGUCAAAAUCAUGGAAACCAUGAUUACGCUUGAUUGAAUCACUUAAAUGGCAAUAGUUACUUAUGUAUUUUAAUUGUCAAGACUUAAGGAUGAUUAAUUUAGUUAUUCUACUAUUUUAUUCUACUUAAAUGCAUCUUAUGAAUUAUUGAUAUGUAUAUAUAAUAUAUUUAAUAUUUUAAUAUUUGUUGUAUCCCCGCACGCGUAUCCUCAUAUUUUGAAAUUUGACGAAUUUCCGUAUCCAUGUACCGCGCACCCGCACCGCGCUCCUGCUUCCUAGCAUACGAGACAUAUGUCCAUUUCGGACUCCCAGUUCCCAUGCCUUCGAGCAACACUACAUAAAAUACAAGGAAAACGCUUUUAGAAUGAGAUAUCAAAAAAUAAACAAAUUGAAAUUGUGGCGGAGUUUAUAUAUAUUCAUCACAAAAAGAUAAAUGAAAAUUGUGAUAUCUGUGACCCGGCCUAUAUGACUAUAUCUUGGGUUUUUUGUAUUAAUUAAAAAAAAAAGAAUUAAUGGAAUUGUAGUAAUCUACUGCCUUUGAUCCUGACACUAGCAAAUGGAGGAGCAUCCAGAUAGCAGGCGCGCCUAAAAACUGCGAGAUGCUGUUUUUUAGUGGUUCAUUUCACAUCACUCGAAAAUAAUACCCCACUUUCAUGAUUUUAUUUUAUCACAUCAAACUCCAUGAUCUUGACUCGUAUUCAGAAAAAAUCUGCAACGUAAAAAUACUUCUACUUAUUUACACAAACGGGAAGAAAAGCAGAAACUGGAAACAGCUUCCACUUCUGUUAAACAAACUGGCGCUUAGUUAUGGAAAAAAUAUGAGGAGAAUGAGCGGAGCCGGAGAAUCAUCACUAGAGUCUAAAACUGUAAUUCGAGUCGGGCAGCUCGUGAGCUCGCCCGUCUCGAACUCGUUUAAGUGGGCUCGGCUAAGCUCGAAUCGUUAAAUGAGUCGAACUCGGGCAACGGUUCCGGCUCGUUUAAUUAAACAAGCCGGGUCGACUCGACUCGUGAAAUUAAACGAGUCGAGUUCGGGUAGAGCUUUGAGCUCGAUUAAGAGUAAAAUUAUACUAGAUGGCUCACUCGACUCGUUAAAACCCGCUCGUUUAGCUAAACGAGCCGGCUCGACUCGACUUGUGAAAUUAAACGAGUCAAGUUUGGGUAGAGGUUUGGACUCAAUUAAGUGUAAAAUUAUACUAGCUGGCUCGCUCGACUCGUUAAACNUCAAUUAAGUGUAAAAUUAUACUAGCUGGCUCGCUCGACUCGUUAAAACCCGCUCGUUUAGCUAAACGAGCCGGCUCGACUCGACUCGUGAAAUUAACCGAGUCGAGUAACUAAUCGCGCCGGCUCGGCUCGACUCAAUCUCGAAUUAGGCUUGGCUCGAAACUCGUCCGGCUCGGCUCGAAUUACGGCCCUAAUCAUCACAUUUUAGAAAAUGGUCUUAAAUCACUUAAGCCAGGAUUAGUCAUCGUACUUAAAAGGUAUUAUCUUUUUCAGGCUUGUUUCUACUUUCUCUGGAAAGCCCUGUGCGACUACUGUUUAAAAUCACACUUGUGAGAUGGUGACUCCAGAGUCCCCAGACUCAAGACUGUACUAUAUGGAGGUUAUGCACUGAGGGUCCACUCAUUAAAGAAGUCACUGAUUUAUCUAAAACUUUAAUAAGCUUGAAGAUUCGACAUUUUGGAUCAACAAAAACUGUUUAUGAUUCAUAAAAUCUUGCUUGAAGUCACUGAUAUGUCAUAUGUGCCUGGUUCGUAUAUGUUUAAUCAAGCGAGACCAUGCUUAUGGUUCACAAGAUCAGGAUCACCAAAUAACUAUGACUAAAAUUAUUUCACUAACUUCUGUGGGUCAAUCCGGUCCUUGAAAAAAUCUUAAACUAAAUUUUGGAAAACUAUUCAAUUAAAAUUACUAAACUACUCAUUUAUCUAUCACGUUAUUUGAUUUAAAAAAAAUUCAGAAUCAAAUUUGAGAUACGUAUCACUAGGGGUGUAAACCAACCAAACUGUUCGUGAGCUACUCGAACUCGACUCGUAAAUUAUUCGAAUUUGAUUCGGUAAUAAUCAAGCCGAGUUCGAGCUCGAACUAUUUGGAUGUUUUACUGAGCCGAGCUAGAACUUCAAAUUACUCGGCUCGUAAGGUUCGCGAGCCUUAUCCGAGCCUCUACUAUUUUUUAAUUUUUUAUUAUAAAUAUAUAUAUAUAUUUACAAAUAUAUUUAUAAUUCAUAUAUUUAAUCGAAUCGAACUCGAGCCAAACCGAUCAUAUUUCGAGUUUUUGUCAAUAUUGAGUGACUCGAUUCGAACUUUCGAGUCGAACUCGAGCCUAUCGAACUGUUUACGAGCCGAAUUUCGAACUUGAAAUUAAAGGCUCGGUCGGACUCGAACUCGAGCUCGAGGCACGAACUUUUCAGUCGAGUUCGAGCCGAGCCUGGCAGUGUUCAACUCGGCUCUAUUACACCCCUAUGUAUCACUAUAAAUAAAUUUUAAUUAUAAAUUAUAUUUAUUUUUAAAAAAAAAAAUAUUUUGAAAACCAAUUAGACCAGAGUCCUGGAUAGUCCCGUCUUAAGUCCUUCACUGUCUUAAUUCCGUCACUGAUAAAAUAACAUCGACUUCUCAUUAGCCCGAAAACGAACGUUUGGUACAUAACAUAUGUUCCAACUUGUGGUGAUAUCGCAUAGCACGAGACAUUGACAAAGUAGCCUACAAUUUCCAGUUCCUUGUUGGUAUACUCUGUUCCUUCCUGUCCGCUCGCCAUCAAAUAUCACUCUCACUCCUCUCAGCUCCCACCCCUUUUCUUUUUCAACUCCUCCAUCGCCCCAUUUGAAGUUUCCACAUGUUUUUAGCAAUAAAGCGAAAAAACAGAUCGAGCAUCAUGGAUUCCCAACCACAAACAGAUACAUCUUAUAAGUCAUAAUAGUAUAACCAGGGCCGCCCUCUGCUAAAUGCGGUCCGAGACCAAUUUGAUUCAUCGAGAAACAAUACACUUAUGUCGACGCAAGUCUUAUCCGUCCAAGGGUCUGUUUAGGGCUGCCGUUGAAAAGAACUUUACCAUCCGACUUUGCCCAUUCGGUAAUUGCCUAUUUAGAAAAAAUAAAAAAUGCGACCCUUCAAAUUACUAAUUAUGCGAGUUAUUAGAAUAUAAUACUUCGGCAGUCAAGGACAGAACCAGGAUGAAAAUUUACGAGACUCGUAUAUCUAACACGAACAAUAAUAAAAUCCAAAACUAAAAAAGCUAAAUUUUACCAACUUAUAUCAAGAAACAAUACAUUUAUGUCGACGCACGUCUUAUCCGUCCAAGGGUCUGUUUACAGGUGCUGUUGAAAAGAACAUUACCAUCCGAGUUCCGACUUUGCCCAUUCGAUAAUUGCCUAGUUAGAAAAAAUAAAAAAAUACAACCCUUCAAAUUACUAAUUAUGCGAGUUAUUACAAAUAUAAUACUUCGGCAGUCAAGGACAGAACCGGGAUGAAAUUUACAAGACUCGUAUAUCUAACACGAACAAUAAUAAAAUCCAAAACUAAAAAAGCUACUCCCUCCGUCCCACCCAUUUCUUAUCAAAUGGGUUGGGCACGGAGGUUAAGGAAUAUGUAUAAAGUAGUGGAAAAGAAGAAGAAAAGUGGGUAAAGUGGUGGGACCCGUUGAUUUUUAAUGUAAAAAAAGAAGAUAGUGGAGUAAAAGUAGUGUGAAAAGGAAAAAAAAGUGGAGAAGUAGUGGGAGCCAUUGACUAUUUUUGGUAAGUUUUGAAAUGUAAAGAAUUGGGUGGGACACCCCAAAAAGGAAAGUGUAAAGAAAUGGGUGGGACGGAGGGAUUAAUUUUUACCAACUUAUGAACUGGUUUUACUUAUGAACUGAUCUAUACUCUUACUAUAAAUAAAAAAAUCAUACUGUUUUUCGGAGGUCGGAAGGAUCUCAAACACCUUCUAACCCCUCCAAUUCCGCCACCGUCGACUCUUGCUUUGCCUUUUGCUUGAAAUACUCUGAACAAUGCCCUGAUUAUAACCUCUAUAGUGAAUUUAGUGUUGGUAAUGAUGAGAAGCAUGGGUCUGGUGCAAAAGCGAAGGAUGAUUACUGUGUUCCUAACAGGAGGUUUCCUCUAAACUAUUCGGGGAAUUGUUCAUCACGAAAUCGAAGAUGAUAAAGGCAUAUGUUAUCGUACUCAAGUGGUUCUAAAGACGGAAUAAUUAACAUCAUCAUUAAAGUAUCUUAUGAUUAAGUAUCCUCAUAAUCAAGUGAUAGAAUCUAUCCUAAACAUAAGAGAAUCGAUUUCUGGUAACAAGGAUAUGGAUAGAUAUCAGUUUACCACACCGUCCCCUCCUUUUAAAGAACGUGGGAAAAUUAAUCUAGUCGUAUAGUUUUAGUGACUUCACUUUCAGCAUGUCCCCAUACAAGAAUUUCUUACAACUACAGCUACCCACUUUGCUACUUGGAACUUGAAAAGCAAGUUCCCUACAUUCUCCCCCACUAACAAUAUCAAAUCCUCUUCUUUUUCUCAAGAAUUCAUGAUCCUGAUUACCUGAACUCUCCACCUCUUAUUACUGUCAAUACCUCUUCAUCAUACUGUCAAUACUUAAAUGACUAACUCUCAAUCCGCUAACAAUAUCAAAUCCUCUUCUUUUUCUCAAGAAUUCAUGAUCCUGAUUACCUGAACUCUCCACCUCUUAUUACUGUCAAUACCUCUUCUUACUGUCAAUACAGUCAAUACUUAAAUGACUUGAACUCUAAAUCCGCUAACAAUAUCAAAUUCUCUUCUUUUUCUCGAGAAUUCAAGCUCCCGAUUACUUGAACUCUCCACCUCUUGUUACUGUCAAUACUUAAAUGACUUGAACUCUCAACCUCUUGUUACUUUCAACUCUCCACCUCCUUUUACGGUCAAUACUUAAAUGACUUGAACUCUCAACUUCUUGUUACUUUCAGAUUCGUUAUGAUGUAUAACUACUUUAAACAAGAAAGAACUUCCCUAAAUUCUCCCACCCUGACAAUAUUAAAUCAUCAUAUAUUUAUAUAUUUAUCUAUUGUUCAUACCCCGAUAACCUAAACUCUCGACCUCGUGUUACUAUCCUCAGAUGAAACGACUAGACUAUAAUGUACAAUAAUGCUAAAAUUCAGAUUUGGGAUUAACGAGAACAUUAUCAUCAUAAGGUCAGAUUUCAGAGAAAGUUGAGUCAAGAUUCCUGGGCUUUCUUAAUCUUGGAAGGCAAACUGAAUCGCUAGUAAACUGGUACAAUGAUUACUGAUGUGAUUAAGAUGUGGUGGCUUUACUGUAGUCACCACUUGUUUGUUGGACAUUUGGAACCCACCAGGCCUUGCCGACCUGAUUUGCGGGUAAAUAUAUUUGUAGGCAACUGUUUUACUAUUUUCCAAUAUAAACACAGCAUAAAAAGAAAUGAAAAAUAAAAUCAACUGAGCCAAAAAUAAGAUCUUACAUAAACUAACAAGCUAGUGUCCUUGGGUCCUAUACCAAGAAGUGUUAUUCCAAACUUAGCUACUCUAGCCCUUAAGAAUAUGUCUUACCCUUAAUUUUUUUUUAACUUUUGUUCUGCUCGGGCAAAAAUUACAUACAACUGAACCUUCUAUUCAAGAAACUGCAUGUCCAAUCAAAUAUUGGUUUGGUUUACAAUCUUUCCCCAUAACUUGACUUCCCCCCUUCCCGGAUAAUUUUUACAUUGUAGAGGACUGCCACGAGAAUGGAAGGGUGAGGUUAGGUAGAAGAUAAUCUAAACCAACAAAGAAAAGGUAGAGCCAACAUUUUGGCCAAGAAAACUAUCAAAUUUACCAAAAAUAAUAAAAACUGAAAGGCUAAAGUUUUUUUUACCCUGGGCUUCCUCAAUUUUCAUUCUAGAGUUGUAUUAUAAUCAAAUAUCAUCAUUCAAGUCAUCCUCAGCUCCACUAGAAUAAUCUCUUUCAUGGUGACUAACAUUGCGCUGCCUUGAAGUGCUUCCAUUAUAUAUUCUUUGACGUUUGGAUGUUGAAGCACUACCCCUGGCGCCUGAGUAACUCUGUAAGCAACCAAAAACAUUUGACUUCCAUUGGAGAAUAACAAAAAAAAAAAAAAUAAAAAAUCCAAAGUCUGAUUUUUAAAACAUAAAAUCCAGUUGAUUUGUUUUACCUUCGAUUCAAUCACUUCUCCAACAGAAACAUCGGCUCUCCAUCUUACAGUAACCGCAGAGGGUGCUGGAAAAUGUUCAAUCUCAUCUGUCGAUUUCCCUUCUCUUGCCCUCUUCUUCCUCAUGACAAGUUUGGCAGGAAGAGGCUGUGUAUAAUGGUAUAAAACAGUAAAUUCACUUGUGAAAGAUGAUCUUCAUUGGAUAGGAAUUAGGAUUAAGGUAUAAUGGCAAAUACCACGUAGCCUGCUGCUGAUUCACCAAACGAGACGAGGUAUGUGGUCAAAUCUGCUGCAUCCUCACCACGUACCUGUCCAUGCUCAGGGUAUUACUAAAGAGUAAUUUCAGUGAAAUCAGAUUGUUAAUUGAUAAAAAUACUGCACAUACAUCAUAGUGAUAUUCGCGGACCCAUGUGAAUGAUAUAUCUUCAUUUUCAUCAUACAUGUCUUUGGAAAGCUGCAACAGUACAGGAAAAUUUAUAUGAAAUAUUGUUACUUAUAUCCAGUUCUGAUAAUUGACUAACAUUGAUGGAUCUACCUCAUCAAGAGAAGGAGCCAUGUAGCCCAUAAAUUUUUCUUCCUCGGCGUUGUCUGAACCUGUCACCCUAUAACUUUUCAUAAUGGCCUGUUACAGAGACAGAAGAACAGAAGAAUAAAUAUAAAUCCUAUAGGAAACAUCGAUUCAUUUUUCUGUAGAUUUUCAUGAGCUCCUGCAAGUAGAGAAGAUAACUCCUAUACACAAUACUCGGGACAAAACAAAGUGGAAAAAGAUCACAUAAAAUUCAAGGUCUGACAGAUGCCUGGGCUGGAAGGAAAAUUAAGAUGUUCCAGGGUUUUCAAAAACACAAACAACAUUCCAACAACAUUUACCUAAAUAGAUUUUGAGGCUGAGGGCAAACUCUUUUGAUUUCUGAACUAACACACUGACAAUUCUAAAAAAAAAAAAACACUGACAAUUCUCACAUUAUACACCAAGCAAGAUACUGCAGAAAAUCCGUCUGUAUACAAAGAUAAGUGGUAACUGUAAACUAAUAUUUCUAUGAUGGGCACAUGCACCAAGUUUUUCAUACUAGUUUUACUUAAAUUUAUAAAGUAACUCACACCAACUCUGUUGCAAUCUCAGAUCACCUACAUAUGUAAAAAAAAAAUGACAGUGACUGAAAUUUGCACUUAGGUUGUGUUCACUUCAUGGAAAGGAAUGAGGAGAGAAUGGAAUGAAAAAUUAUAUAGAAGUUUUAAAGAGAAAGAAGAAAGUAUGAAAUAAUAGUGACAAAAUAUGAAUGUAGUUACAUUUUUUGUGAGAAAGAUUGCGAAGAAACAUGAUGUAGAGAUGGAAUGAGUAUUCCUUCCAAAACAUGUGGGUUAGAGUUAUAAUUAAAAAUAGUAAGAUUGGAAUGAUGGAAGGAAUGAAAAUUAUGUACAUUUUCUUUGAUCAACAUCAUUUUAGAGUACAAAAUUCAUUCCAUUCUCCCUCCAUUCCAUUCACCCCAAGUGAACACAACCUUAUAGUUUUAGCUUCAUAAUGGAAUGCACUCAACAUACAUUAGUACAUUACCACCUUCUCAACAUUUACAAUUCACCUGAGAUUCGUGGGCAUCACGAACUGAUUUCUCUAACUUCUGGUAGACUUCUGAAUCACCAGUAGGAGCGCUAUCAAAGUUUGCAAUGACAAACCGGUCAUCAUACCUGGAUCACAAAAAUAUCAUGUAGCAAUUAGAAUGCAAAAAGGGAAGUCUUCACAUUCUGACUUAAAAUGAACAACUCUAAGCUAUUGACUCUCUGCCUUGUGUUCAUAGCUAAUAAUUUCAGAGUUCAAAGAAUUUCUUUUAGCUCUCUUUCUAUAUUACUAACCACUAACUAGCAAACCAAACAAUAUAGUAUCUGACAACUAUCUAUAAGUCAAUGAAAACAGAAUUUUUUUCUAGUAUACAUUAGGCCAUGUCUGUUUUAGAAGGUUAGAAUCCCCAGUUUACCAUCCCAAAGAUUCACAUUUUAAUCAUCUUUCUAGUCCAAUUCUAUAAGAUUAUAACACAUUGUAAGAGAAGGUAUUCAAAUCCCAAGGAAAUGGAUCAAAAAGAUGUUGGAAAAUUUUAUUUCAUGGGAUAAUCCUCUAAAUUUUGAAAAAAAAAUAAAGAUAAUAAUCCGGGGAUUACAGUAAGCAACAUGGCCUUACAGUUGUUAAACACACUGCGAGGAAUCCUUGGCCAGUUGGUCCGGUUUAUAGUAAUAUGUCUAUAUAGUUUGACGAUAGUUGUUAGUGGACUAAGUAUUCAUUUCUUUUUAUAUUUAAAAAAAAAACUAAUUCUUUAAAUAUUAGUACCAUUCUUCAAUGUAAUAUUUGUUUACCAACUACUUUCUACUUCUGCAUCAGUAAAAGAGAGCAUAUUUAAUGAUGUAACACCAUAAUAUUCAGAGAACAAUUAAUCACAAUAUUAGUAAGAUAAUGUGUUCAACAAAGUUGUGUACGGGUAACUUCAUACCUCUCAAAAUCAGGAAACAGAGGCAAAACUUCUAAAGGUUGUAAACUUUUAUUAGUUGAAUGCACAGGCCUGGUCUUGCAUGCCUCAAAUGAAGACUUAAUCUCUUGGAUUCUCCUCCCCCUGGAAAUAAGACUUACAGUUUACAUUUCCAACAUACCAUCUACUAACAAGAAUGGACAAGGGGUUAUGAGUUAUAAAAUACCUAUUGUUUGAACUAUCAAGAAUACCGCGCCCUCUUUGCCGGUCUCUCAGUUCUUUCGCUUGCUUUUCAGUGAGAGACUAAGAAAAAAUUAACAUAGUCAGCCUACCGCACAUUUGUAUAAAAUCAACAGCUUCUACAACUUUUACUCAUAUAUACCUGUUUUGUGGAAUCCAUAUUGACAGAAGAGAUAUAUUGUGUUUUCACCAGCCAGGAAACCCCUUGGUCAGUAGGGCGAUCCUUUCUUUUAAUGCCAUCUUUUUUUAUUGGAGUUAUAGGAUCAUCAUCCCGCAACAAUGCCUCGUCUUCAGGAUCAAGGUAAAGGAUCUCCCCCUUUGGAGGACUGGUCAAGUUGGAAAGGAACGUUUCUCAGCAUCAACAAAUUAAAUGAUACUAAAAUAAUAAACCUUGAAGGGGCUUACUUGUACACACUAAGAUCAAGCAGAUCAAGAGAAAUCCCGAGGUCUGGCUCGACAUAUAAUUGAGGCUUGUGUAGUUUUUCCAAAGCAGUAAUUCUAUAUUUUGAUAACCUGCACAAACAAACCAUGAAAAUCACAAUAUAAUAAUCGAAGGAACAUCUUAACAAUAAUAAUACGUAGGACACAAUGGUACAAGUAACAGAACAGUAAUCAAAUUGAUUUGAAAUUUAUUUCAUAAAGGCUAUCUCUUCAAAUAAUCCUUGUAAAGAAAAUUUCCUUUUUGUUGUGAAUCUUUUUUUUAUGUGGAUAACUCUUCUCUCCUGCGCUUGAGACUUGAGUUAUUAGGGUUCAAUACUUAUAUUGAACUAACCACGCUUGACAUUCUGGGGUGUGGACCAAGCAAAAACAUAAACAGAAAACAUAACUGUACCAUGUAAUGUGAAGCACAUAUUAUCGAAGUCCAAAGGAAAAGGGCUGGAUUUAAUGGUUAAUCUUUGCUUGCAGUUUUGCCAGGUUAAACUAUCAAAAUUAUUUGAGAAAUUUAUUUGGAGCAUUGGGGAGUGGGGACCAAAGCACAAAAGAAAAGUGUCAAAGGGUUGGCUCAGCAACUGUUUAACAUCAUUCUUCUAAUUAAGUGGUUGCUCAAGGCCACCUUCACUUGCAUCUUAUUUACAUAAAUGGUGUCAUCGACUCACCGUAUAACUGAGAUCUCACUAAAACCACUAUAUUAUAGCAGAUAUUUCACUGAGAUUGGAGUCACA